UGGGGAAUAUUGGACAAUGGGCGCAAGCCUGAUCCAGCAAUGCCGCGUGAGUGAUGAAGGCCUUAGGGUUGUAAAGCUCUUUCGCACGCGACGAUGAUGACGGUAGCGUGAGAAGAAGCCCCGGCUAACUUCGUGCCAGCAGCCGCGGUAAUACGAAGGGGGCUAGCGUUGUUCGGAAUUACUGGGCGUAAAGGGCGCGUAGGCGGCCUGUUUAGUCAGAAGUGAAAGCCCCGGGCUCAACCUGGGAAUAGCUUUUGAUACUGGCAGGCUUGAGUUCCGGAGAGGAUGGUGGAAUUCCCAGUGUAGAGGUGAAAUUCGUAGAUAUUGGGAAGAACACCGGUGGCGAAGGCGGCCAUCUGGACGGACACUGACGCUGAGGCGCGAAAGCGUGGGGAGCAAACAGGAUUAGAUACCCUGGUAGUCCACGCGUAAACGAUGAAUGCUAGACGUCGGGGUGCAUGCACUUCGGUGUCGCCGCUAACGCAUUAAGCAUUCCGCCUGGGGAGUACGGCCGCAAGGUUAAAACUCAAAUGAAUUGAC
rnacentral:rRNA from 1 species